GGAAGGAUCAUUAACACGUAUCCACGUUAUCAACCAACUGCGAACACGUUUUCAAAUCUCCCUGCCUUUGUACAUGAAUUGACUCGUUCUCUGAGGAAUGGAAUGCUGAGCUUGCUCGGAUCCUCAGAUUACUAAUUGUGUGUGGCGCAAGCUGCACACAGACAAUUGUAGUACUCGUAAGGUCAGGCAAACCUCUUCUACUCUGCGCUUUUCGCUUCCAUGAAAAGAGUUGAGUGGGAAACAAUAAUAACAAAUUUCACCCCCUUUUUGCUAGUUGACUUUUAUAUGUUGUAAGCGUAGCAGACUUCAUUGUCUAUUGCGACUACACACGUUUAUCUAUUUGAACGUUAAAAUUACAACUCUUAGCAAUGGAUAUCUUGGUUCUCGCAACGAUGAAGAACGCAGCGAAAUGCGAUACGUAAUGCGAAUUGCAGAAUUCAGUGAAUCAUCAAAUCUUUGAACGCAAAUUGCGCUCUUGGGUAGCCCUAGGAGCACGCCUCUCUCAGUAUCGGUUCAACAACCUCUCAGCAGCGUAUUCAUUUACGCGUUGGCUGGAUAAUGAGAGUCUGAGUGUACACACGCUCAGUCUCUUGAAAUACAUCGAGUGAGUAUCAUCACAUGCCUACGCAUUCUUGUCGCAAGACAGGAGCCAAGUCUCUGACUGGUUGCACGACAGCAAAGUGACGUGAAUACUGACCCUCGUGGUCUCACAUUUACGUGUAACUUCUGUUCGGGCUUCUACUUUAAAGGUCUAGGACUCUGGUGUCGUUUGGGAGCAGGUGUACUCGCGUUAAGCGGUCGCAAGACUGCAAUCGGCUUUUGGCAAUUUAUUGUUGAAGUCUGAAUUUUGAUCUGAGAUGAAGCGAGACAACCCCCUGAAUUUAAGCAUAUUAAUAAGGGGAGGAAAAGAAACUAACAAGGAUUCCCCCAGUAACGGCGAGUGAAGCGGGAAGAGCUCAAUUUGAAAAUCGUCUACCUAAGCGGGUCGACGAGUUGUAGCCUAGAGACGUACUAUCAGCUGGAACCUGGGUAUAAGUUCUUUGGAAUGAGGCAUCAUAGAGGGUGAGAAUCCCGUAUAUGACCCAAAGCUUUCAGCGUACGAUGUAUGUUCAUCGAGUCGAGUUGUUUGGGAUUGCAGCUCUAAAUGGGUGGUAAGUUUCAUCUAAAGCUAAAUAAUGGCGAGAGACCGAUAGCGAACAAGUACCGUGAGGGAAAGAUGAAAAGAACUUUGAAAAGAGAGUUAAAAGUACUUGAAAUUGCUAAGAGGGAAGCGCUGACAACCAGUGCUUCACGCCGUUCAUCGCUGUCAGCCCCACUGGGCGACGUGCGCAGUUGGUCAAACUCUGCGUCGCGUCGUCGAAAGGGAGGUUGGCGGUUUAGGACGGCGGGUGAGUCAAGAUCCGUUCGGUGUUUCUGUGGGAGAAAGUGGUGAGAAAGGUAGGAAACCUCGGUUUCUGUUAUAGUCUCAUCACCCUACCUCGGCCUGGACGGAGGAAGGAAUAGUGCGCCGCUUGCGGCUUAGUCCCGCGUCUCUACGGCCCCAACUGUGUUGAUAGCAAUGCUAUCCUCACGGCGAAGUGGUCGUACUGGGCGCGGUGACUCUAUGUGCUAUCACGAUCUUGUACGAAAUGGUUGUCAUCGACCCGUCUUGAAACACGGACCAAGGAGUCUAACAUCUAUGCGAGUAUUUGAGUGAAAAACUCUGAUGCGCAAUGAAAGUAAAGGCGGUCUUCGGACUGCUGAGGUAGGAAUCCGGUCAAACGGAGGCACUAUCGACCGAUCAUCACUUGUGAAAGAUUUGAGUAAGAGCAUAUCUGUUGGGACCCGAAAGAUGGUGAUCUAUGCCUGAACAGGGUGAAGCCAGGGGAAACUCUGGUGGAGGCUCGUAGCGAUACUGACGUGCAAAUCGUUCGUCUGAUUUGGGUAUAGGGGCGAAAGACUAAUCGAACCAUCUAGUAGCUGGUUCCCUC
rnacentral:misc_RNA from 1 species